UACGUAGGGUGCGAGCGUUAAUCGGAAUUACUGGGCGUAAAGCGUGCGCAGGCGGUUCGUUGUGUCGGCGGUGAAAGCCCCGGGCUCAACCUGGGAAUGGCCGUUGAAACUGGCGAACUGGAGUGUGGCAGAGGGGGUGGAAUUCCGCGUGUAGCAGUGAAAUGCGUAGAGAUGCGGAGGAACACCGAUGGCGAAGGCAGCCCCUGGGGCUGACACUGACGCUCAGGCACGAAAGCGUGGGGAGCAAACAGGAUUAGAAAACCCC
rnacentral:rRNA from 1 species